rnacentral:rRNA from 1 species
UACGUAGGGGGCGAGCGUUGUCCGGAAUCAUUGGGCGUAAAGCGCGUGUAGGCGGCUUGGCAAGUCUGACGUGAGAGCCCGCGGCUCAACCGCGGAUUUUCGUUGGAAACUGCCUCGCUAGAGUCCGGAAGAGGAGAGCGGAAUUCCUGGUGUAGCGGUGGAAUGCGCAGAUAUCAGGAAGAACACCCGUGGCGAAGGCGGCUCUCUGGGACGGUACUGACGCUGAGACGCGAAAGCGUGGGGAGCGAACAGG